AGUUUGAUCUCAGACUGCUGUGCUAGCAAUCAGCGAGAUUCUGUGGGCGUAGGACCCUCCAAGCCAGGUGUGGGAUAUAGUCUCGUGGUGCACCGUUUUUUAAGCCGGUCUGAAAAGCGCAAUAUUCGGGUGGGAGUGACCCGCUUUUCCAGCAGUAGAAAACAGAUGAAUACACCUAGAUUUCUUCCUGCGUGAAUCCAGUUGAGGGGAAGGUAUAAAAUUUUCAAAUGGAGGAGUAUACCUGAACCUAAUCAUGGAUGUGAUUUUAUGUAAGUAAUAUGUGAGAUACAGAUAAGCUGAUUCUAAAACUUACAAGAAUGGCAAAGAAACAAGAAGAGCUUAAACUGCAAUCAUCAACAGAGAAGCUUUCUGCAACCAAAGUGAAGACUGAAGCCUUAGGCUAUGGCAGAAGUUGGGCGCCUGAAGUACACGUGGAAAUAUGCCAACUGAACAUUGGACUACCACUAACCUGGAUUCUUCCAUCUUUUGAAGUGGAAACUGUCCUAACCCCAUAACCUCGACAUCACUAGACAGGGUCUGGCUUUGUUGCCCUGGUCUUGAACUCCUG
rnacentral:lncRNA from 10 species